AUCAUUUCUCAGCAUUUUGGCUAAGAUCAAGUG
rnacentral:snRNA from 1 species